CUAGUGUGACACGCUCCCUUUUCUCCUCGGCAAUACAAUGUUCCUCUUAAAGGGCUUAGUUCAAAGUAGCAGGCAAGGAGUUGACGGGGCAUCCUUUGAGCUAUAACAAUGGCCAGGUUAAAAGGGCUCUGCUAACAUCAGGCCAUUUUGCAGUGGUUAAAGUCAAAGAUAAGAUUGCGGCUUUCAGGAUCUUCCACGGCUCUCAUUUCCCUAAAUAAUCUCGGAUUAUAACCAUACCACAAACAAAGCAAGGAGGAAUUGGACUGCUUAAAUCGUGAAAAUGAUAAUAAUAAUAAUAAUAAUAAUCAUUCUAUCGCAGACAAGGAACAAAAUCUGGGACUGGUUUGGAAGGUUUUUGUCUAUGAAGUUUCCAAAUCCAGGGACUAGUUUG
rnacentral:lncRNA from 1 species